GAAACUACCACAUAAUUGCAUGGCCGAAGUUUGCACUAGUGGCGUGGGGCCCGCCCCACCCUAAUAAUUUGAUUUUAUAUGUACAUAUACUAUUAAUGAUGAUAAAAAAGUAAGAAACCCCAAAAAAUCCAGAAAAAAAACCCAAAAUCCAGAAAUGUUGCGUGCAGAGAGCUUUUGGCUGCAAGGAUCAGACGUCCAGAAUUUUUAUUUAGAACGAAGGCACGCCGGUGCCCGGCUUUAUAGAUAAAGCCAACCGGCCAAAUAAGAGUCUUACUGGGGAUACCAGUUUACAAUGGAGGAGCAACAAAUGAAAGCACAACAAAAACAGCCACAACCCGGCAAAAGGUAGAACUAAUGAGCACUGGGGGGCUUCAAGUUGGCGUAGAGACGCCUAAACUCUGCCGCAGUAGAGAGGAGCGCCUGGGAGAUCUUGUGGGGCGCCAUCGGGGACCAGAGCUGCAGAAAAAAGGCCGUUUUGAAAAUACAGUUAGUAGGAUGAGACAGGAACUUAUUUUCAAUAGUGUAUUUGUUACGUAUCGUCCAAAUAGCCCAACACUGUGCAGCAAAAGAAAUCCACACCGUUUUCCGAGAAAUACCCAAAAAGCCCUGAAUUCUAGCAAGAAAACUGGCA
rnacentral:lncRNA from 1 species